AUGACGCACAUUUUAGUGAAAUGCCUUAACGACGAUAAGUGGGACGUUUAUCCGUUGAAGUGGUUGGCUCACCCAGCUACUACUCUUCAACUGAUGUGCGAGCCUGGUUGUUUUGAUGAGUUGCGCGGCACAGGUCAUGAUGCCUGUUGGAGAGAAGGCACCGCGAAACAGUCGCAGCCGCACUUCUGAAGAUAGGUUACGCAUGCAGCAAAUUCCCAGGUGCUAAAGUGUUCUACGCCAAAAGCACCUUGGCGUCGUGCAAGAGACACCCGUUGACAUGUGGCUGAUUCACUAGCAAGCUUGCAUCUCUGUUGCCACUCUCCAUCAAGUGGGAUUUUCAACUAUUUCUUGUGCUGCUCUGUGGUGUACUAGCUGCCGCAUGGACGCUGUGAAGGCUUACUUUCGAUUUGCUCUGGCAUUUAGUAGUAAAGGAUGGGCUACCUUAUGAGGGGAGGCAUUUACUUUUGUUUGUGAGAAUGUUUACCAGCCUAACCAAGUGAUACGUGCGUACCGUAAACAGCAGCAAGAACACAGGCGGACGACGGACGACGAAAUAGGUAGGAGCACAAACGAGCGCAAGCUCUACUAAAAGUUUACUUUUGAUGACAGAGGUAUUAAACACACUGGUCAACUUGACAAAGGUAAAAAUCCGUGCAUGCGUGGCAGAAACAGCCACGUGCGACAAGAAAAAAAUAUGAAAAAGCCA
rnacentral:lncRNA from 1 species